rnacentral:rRNA from 1 species
GACGAACGCUGGCGGCGUGCCUAAUACAUGCAAGUCGAACGAACGGAGCUAGGAACUUGUUCCCGGCAAAGUUAGUGGCGCACGGGUGAGUAACACGUGGAGAACCUACCCUUUUGCGGGGGAUAACCAUUGGAAACGAUGACUAAUACCGCAUAGAAUCGCAGAUCGCAUGAUCAACGAAGGAAAGACGGCUUCGGCUGUCACAAAAGGAUGGCUCCGCGGUGCAUUAGCUAGAUGGUGGGGUAACGGCCUACCAUGGCAAUGAUGCAUAGCCGACCUGAGAGGGUGAUCGGCCACAUUGGGACUGAGACACGGCCCAAACUCCUACGGGAGGCAGCAGUAGGGAAUCUUCCGCAAUGGGCGCAAGCCUGACGGAGCAACGCCGCGUGUGUGAAGAAGGUCUUCGGAUCGUAAAGCACUGUUGUUAGAGAAGAACGACCGCUAGAGUAACUGUUAGCGGAGUGACGGUAUCUAACCAGAAAGCCACGGCUAACUACGUGCCAGCAGCCGCGGUAAUACGUAGGUGGCAAGCGUUGUCCGGAUUUAUUGGGCGUAAAGGGAGCGCAGGCGGUGACUUAAGUCUGAUGUGAAAGCCCACGGCUCAACCGUGGAGGGUCAUUGGAAACUGGGUCGCUUGAGUGCAGAAGAGGAAAAGUGGAAUUCCAUGUGUAGCGGUGAAAUGCGUAGAUAUAUGGGAGGAACACCAGUGGCGAAGGCGACUUUCUGGUCUGUAACUGACGCUGAGGCUUCGAAAGCUUGGGGAGCAAACAAG